GUGGGGAAUAUUGGACAAUGGGCGAAAGCCUGAUCCAGCCAUGCCGCGUGUGUGAAGAAGGUCUUCGGAUUGUAAAGCACUUUAAGUUGGGAGGAAGGGCAGUAAGUUAAUACCUUGCUGUUUUGACGUUACCGACAGAAUAAGCACCGGCUAACUUCGUGCCAGCAGCCGCGGUAAUACGAAGGGUGCAAGCGUUAAUAGGAAUUACUGGGCGUAAAGCGCGCGUAGGUGGUUUUGUAAGUUGGAGGUGAAAUCCCCGGGCUCAACCUGGGAACUGCCUCCAAAACUGCAUGACUAGAGUACGGUAGAGGGUAGUGGAAUUUCCUGUGUAGCGGUGAAAUGCGUAGAUAUAGGAAGGAACACCAGUGGCGAAGGCGACUACCUGGACUGAUACUGACACUGAGGUGCGAAAGCGUGGGGAGCAAACAGGAUUAGAAACCCGGGUAGUCC
rnacentral:rRNA from 1 species